UGAACGCUGGCGGCGUGCUUAACACAUGCAAGUCGAACGAGAAGUGAAGACGGAAACCUUCGGGCGGAAGGCUUUAUUUCGAGUGGCGGACGGGUGAGUAACGCGUGGGUAACCUGCCUCAUACAGGGGGAUAACAGUUGGAAACGACUGUUAAUACCGCAUAAGACCACAGCACCGCAUGGUGCGGGGGUAAAAACUCCGGUGGUAUGAGAUGGACCCGCGUUCGAUUAGCCAGUUGGCGGGGUAACGGCCCACCAAAGCGACGAUCGAUAGCCGAUCUGAGAGGAUGACCGGCCACAUUGGGACUGGGACACGGCCCAAACUCCUACGGGAGGCAGCAGUGGGGAAUAUUGCACAAUGGGGGAAACCCUGAUGCAGCGACGCCGCGUGAGUGAAGAAGUAUUUCGGUAUGUAAAGCUCUAUCAGCAGGGAAGAAAAUGACGGUACCUGAGUAAGAAGCCCCGGCUAACUACGUG
rnacentral:rRNA from 1 species